GCGUGGUGGACGGCUCGCUUCCCGUGUCGAUGAACGACGUAACGAAAUACAAGAGGUGUUGCUAAUUGCAAUAUUUCAUGAGUCAAUGAAUAUCCUAAUGCGUUGUCCUCCCUUCGCGGCUUCUGUUGCGAGGGGCGCGUCGGCA
rnacentral:rRNA from 1 species